UCGAAAUAUAUAUGGAAAUGUAGUUAAAUAUAACAGGGUGGCAGGGAUUUGAGGAAAGUGGGGCAAAAACCAUAGUAUUUUCGAAAACAAUUGACCAGUUUUAUGCCAUAAGUUGACUUUUUCAAAUUUCUAAUCUUUGAUUAGAUUGAUCUCAAUAUCUAAUAAUCAUACAUGCGAUGACAAGAACAUAUUUUUAACAAUUACAUUUAUUCUUAUCAUCAUUUAUGCAAGAGUAAAUGUUUGAUUAAUAUACAAUAUAUACCACUAUUCAUAUUGUGUUUUACACCCACAUACUAACAAAGGGAAAAUGCAAUAUGAACUACUUUUUGAAUAUCUUUGAAACUAUUUAUAACCAAAUAAUUGUGUAUUUCGUUUAGGUAGUCAUGCGUGCGAGAAAUGUACGGAUGGAAGCAUUCUUCCAUCGUUUUGCUUCUGUGACAAGAAAGUUCACUGUGUCAAAGAUAAAGAAUUGGGAAGUCGAGCAGCCGAUGACUCUAAAAAAAUUUGUAAUUGGUGUGCUGAUGUUUUCGACACUCAAUUUAAAAACCGAGGCAAUGCGAUUUGCCCUAGUCACUCUCAAGAUCUGUUGAAAAGUACUUGUAAUGAAGGUUAUGAUGGCUUCAUGUGUAAUGUCAUAACAAAACGUGUAUGCACCUUAAAAUUUGAACAGCCUAACUUACAGGAAUGCAACAGGUCAAAUUUAGAGGAAUGCUUCCUGAAAUCAAUAUGGCCUGGAACAUAUUACUAUUGCCAACAUUUCACGGAUUCCAAUAUCAAAGAAAGAAGUUUCCUAGAAGUUUGUAAAUGAAUGCUACCCCAUGACCGAAGAAAGGUAGAAAAUUAGAUUGAGUUAGGCUUCAUCCAAGAAGUUAAAAUGAACAAUUUCAAGGAGAAACCACUUUUUGCUCUCGAUUAAACAUCGUCUAGUUGAUAAUUGACAUCACCCCUAGAUAUAUAUUCCGCAGACAGAGAUGCAAUGAAUUCUUGAGGAGUGAGAACCAGUAGAAUGG